CCUACGUGGUGCAGCAGUGAGGAAUAUUGGUCAAUGGACGGACGUCUGAACCAGCCAUGCCGCGUGCAGGAAGACGGCUCUAUGAGUUGUAAACUGCUUUUGUACAAGGGUAAACCUGAAUACGUGUAUUCCGCUGAACGUACUGUACGAAUAAGGAUCGGCUAACUCCGUGCCAUCAGCCGCGGUAAUACGGAGGAUCCAAGCGUUAUCCGGAUUUAUUGGGUUUAAAGGGUGCGUAGGCGGAUUGAUAAGUUAGAGGUGAAAUGUCCGAGCUUAACUCGGGAACUGCCUCUAAUACUGUUGAUCUAGAGAGUAGAUGCGGUAGGCGGAAUGUAUGGUGUAGCGGUGAAAUGCUUAGAGAUCAUACAGAACACCGAUUGCGAAGGCAGCUUACCAAGCUAUAUCUGACGUUGAGGCACGAAAGCGUGGGGAGCAAACAGGAUUAGAUACCCGUGUAGUC
rnacentral:rRNA from 1 species